rnacentral:tRNA from 1 species
GUCGGCGUGGUGGAAUUGGCAGACACAAGGGACUUAAAAUCCCUCGGCAGAAAUGCUGUAUCGGUUCGAGUCCGAUCGCCGGCACCA